GAUGAACGCUGGCGGCGUGCUUAACACAUGCAAGUCGAACGGAAAAGCCCUGCUUGCAGGGUACUCGAGUGGCGAACGGGUGAGUAACACGUGGGUGAUCUGCCCUGUACUUUGGGAUAAGCCUGGGAAACUGGGUCUAAUACCGAAUAUGACAAUUGUUUGGAUGCGAUUGUGGAAAGCUUUUGCGGUAUGGGAUGAGCUCGCGGCCUAUCAGCUUGUUGGUGGGGUAAUGGCCUACCAAGGCGUCGACGGGUAGCCGGCCUGAGAGGGUGUACGGCCACAUUGGGACUGAGAUACGGCCCAGACUCCUACGGGAGGCAGCAGUGGGGAAUAUUGCACAAUGGGCGCAAGCCUGAUGCAGCGACGCCGCGUGGGGGAUGACGGCCUUCGGGUUGUAAACUCCUUUCGCAACCGACGAAGCCUUUUGGUGACGGUAGGUUGAGAAGAAGCACCGGCUAACUACGUG
rnacentral:rRNA from 1 species